UUCUCACCAUAGUAUCUCUCCCAGCCUCAUCUCCUUCCCCUCACUCCUCAAUCCUCACUGCUCUCCAUGUUUCUGGUCGCCGCGUCGACCAAGAGAUCGACUCCUACUGCCUCAACCUCUCGCGUCCGUACUGCUGCUUCCCCGGCCCCGGCCCUCCUCCCUGCGACACACCGGAUCCAGCUCUCCCCAUCCCGCCUCCUAUCUGCCGAUGGCUCCACUUCGACCUCCAGCGAUGCUGACCCACGACCGACGGGAGCACGACCACCUCCGGCCGGAACCCCUGCCCCACGCCUCCGCUCAAGCCUGCCCUCCAGGGACUCCAUCCAGGCGGGUCCAUUCUCUCUGCUUUUAUUUCCUUUUUCUUGCAAUGAGAGGAUUUUUUGAUUCAGCUUAAGCAAAGAUUCAAGAAUCAAGAUAUGAUGUGUGCUUAUUCUGUAGACAUAAUGGUUGUUUUGCUAUCUACUGUGAUGCAUGAUCCAUGGGACAGAAUGGCAUGAAAUUUUAAGGUUUUAUUGAACAAAUAUUGAUCCAUCCCAUGUAUUUGAAUGCAUCAGGUACAAUUAUCUUUUGGUAUCAUUCAUUUUCACCCUUCUAAAUUUUGUAGCAUGCUAUCUGUAUGAAGCUUCAUGGUACAAAAUUGCAUGGUUUAGUGUCAAGUAAUGUGCAUCAAUACUACUAAAAAGAAGCUAAAGGUUACAACAUCACGUCCAUCUGCUUAACUACUGAAAAAAAUAACUUGUGUAUUCACUCAAUAUGACAUCUAAAAAGAAUAACACGAUAAAACUUAUUUUUGAGUUUGCUCGAGUUUCGUUAUUACCUUUUGUCUCCAAGCAUUCUACCAUGUAAAAUCAAGAGCUUUGAGCCAAAAUGAAAGGAAACAAUAGACACGAAAUUUCACUUGCAUAUAUGAAUUACCAGGCAAGCAAGGAUGACUAUUGGGUGGAUCAAAUAAUUCUGGAUCUGCUACCAGUGUAUCAGUUUGAAUAUCAUCCAUUGUGGCAGCCUGAAUAUCUUCAUCAUUGUUCACGAUACAUGUUCCACAGCUUUGAUUGGAGAAGUAUACAUCAUUUGACAGGAGUAUGAUAUAGGCUGGUGUGGACUGGAAAUGGUACUGUUGGUAAGAAUCUACAAAAUUGCAAGCCGCAUAUUCAACAAAAACAGUGGAUCAGCAAAUACCUUUAGUUAAAGUGGACAACUGUGAUUUUGUAUUGGUAUUAACCUGUUGAAAACCGGCACACCCAAGAUUGGUAUCUCCUUUUUGGACAUGAUCGCUCUCAUCUGGAUUCGCUGCGCGCAGUUUCUUUCUGGAUGUGCGUGGAGUUCCUUGCUGAGUGGAGUUCCUUGCUGGGUGUGCCAUCGUGGUAUGGGCGUCCUGAGGAUGUACGGCUUGUCGCAGCAAGGAGACGUCAAAGUGUGGAGGUUGGCGUGGUUGACGAUCUCCGACUGAGAGACUGGGUGUGCCGCCGCGGUCUGGGCGUCGUGAUGAUCUGCGGCAGGGAGGCGUGGAGGGUUGGGUGAUGAUCUGCGGCAGGGAGGCGUGGAGGUGUGGAGGCUCGGCUGACUAUCUACGUUAGGGAGGCGUGGAGUUGUGGAGGUUGUGAUGAGGAUCUGCGGAAGUUACGGGGUGGGAGGCAUCGUAGGCGGGGAACAAAAAUUAGCGGGUGAGAGAUGAGAGAUUAAUCGUACCUGGUGGGGAGAACAAAUCAAUCUGGAUUGUUAGAUCCAAAUGGAUGGAUGGUUGAGAUCUAGUUUUCCAACGGCACUUCGUGCCUUUAUAAGUAGUACAGAUGCGGCAAGGAGGCGUGGAGGUGUGGAGGCUCGGCUGACUAUCUACGUUAGGGAGGCGUGGAGUUGUGGAGGUUGUGAUGAGGAUCUGCGGAAGUUACGGGGUGGGAGGCAUCGUAGGCGGGGAACAAAAAUUAGCGGGUGAGAGAUGAGAGAUUAGUCGUACGUGGUGGGGAGAACAAAUCAAUCUGGAUUGUUAGAUCCAGAUGGAUGGAUGGCUGAGAUCUAGUUUUCCAACGGCACUUUGUAUCUUUAUAAGUAGUAGAGAUAGAGACGAGAAAGCCCAUCUCAAGCAAAUUUGUGUUCAGACUUUCCUUUUGACAGCUCAAACCUCUUUAUUGAUUAUCGAUAAUUGUUAUAUAUCAGCAAUUGACAGAUGAAUAAGGGACAUGAUGGAUCAUCAAACCUUUGAGAUUGGCUUUGAUCUUUCGCCAAACGAGGGCAAUUGUAUAUUUGUAUUAGCUUCCCUAGAUUCAUAAGUGAACUGGAUUUCCACACACACUCUGUCGCUAGAUCAGAGACGCUUGUCCAUCGCCACAACAAGAGCGACGAGGUGCCUGUCCAUCGCGAAAAUGAGUAAAGCGGUGGGCCGGUCCCGCGAUCGAGGGGCACACAACCGAGAAACAGCCAAGCCGCUACAACUCAGGAACGGCAUGUAUCAAAGACGAUGGUUGCGUGCGUACACGCAGUCUUGGCAUUGCGGCUCAAAAAGUUAUGGGAGAACUUUCGUCGGUAUCUACAGGUCUAUGGUUCGUUAUGUAUCUUUGACUGCCUUCACAAGAGUACAAGAUUGUGUUUUGGAAGAAGAAAGAAAUUGAAGACCUCGAAGAUUUGUUACUAUCUUUUAGACUUUAUUUUGUAAUCGUUGGAGUCAGUUCAUGUAUCUCUACCAUGUACUAUUUGUUACUAUGAAUAUAUGUGGUAUUGAUUGUCAAAAAAA